AGUGAACGCUGGCGGUAGGCCUAACACAUGCAAGUCGAACGGCAGCACAGUAAGAGCUUGCUCUUACGGGUGGCGAGUGGCGGACGGGUGAGGAAUACGUCGGAAUCUACUUUUUCGUGGGGGAUAACGUAGGGAAACUUACGCUAAUACCGCAUACGACCUACGGGUGAAAGCAGGGGAUCUUCGGACCUUGCGCGAUUGAAUGAGCCGAUGUCGGAUUAGCUAGUUGGCGGGGUAAAGGCCCACCAAGGCGACGAUCCGUAGCUUGUCUGAGAGGAUGAUCAGCCACACUGGAACUGAGACACGGUCCAGACUCCUACGGGAGGCAGCAGUGGGGAAUAUUGGACAAAGGGCGCAAGCCUGAUCCAGCCAUACCGCGUGGGUGAAGAAGGCCUUCGGGUUGUAAAGCCCUUUUGUUGGGAAAGAAAAGCAGCAGGUUAAUACCCCGCUGUUCUGACGGUACCCAAAGAAUAAGCACCGGCUAACUUCGUG
rnacentral:rRNA from 1 species